rnacentral:rRNA from 1 species
UGGGGAAUUUUGGACAAUGGGCGAAAGCCUGAUCCAGCAAUGCCGCGUGUGUGAAGAAGGCCUUCGGGUUGUAAAGCACUUUUGUCCGGAAAGAAAUCCUUGGCUCUAAUACAGUCGGGGGAUGACGGUACCGGAAGAAUAAGCACCGGCUAACUACGUGCCAGCAGCCGCGGUAAUACGUAGGGUGCAAGCGUUAAUCGGAAUUACUGGGCGUAAAGCGUACGCAGGCGGUUUGCUAAGACCGAUGUGAAAUCCCCGGGCUCAACCUGGGAACUGCAUUGGUGACUGGCAGGCUAGAGUAUGGCAGAGGGGGGUAGAAUUCCACGUGUAGCAGUGAAAUGCGUAGAGAUGUGGAGGAAUACCGAUGGCGAAGGCAGCCCCCUGGGCCAAUACUGACGCUCAUGCACGAAAGCGUGGGGAGCAAACAGGAUUAGAUACCCUGGUAGUCCACGCCCUAAAACGAUGUCAACUAGUUGUUGGGGAUUCAUUUCCUUAGUAACGUAGCUAACGCGUGAAGUUGACC